rnacentral:rRNA from 1 species
ACGGAGUAGCAAUACAACUGGUGGCGACCGGCGCGACGGUGAGUAACGCGUAUGCAACCACCUAUCAGAGGGGAAUAACCCGGCGAAAGUCGGACUAAUACCGCAUAAAACAGGGGCACCGCAUGGUGAUAUUUGUUAAAGAGAUUCGCUGAUAGAUGGGCAUGCGUUCCAUUAGGUAGUUGGUGAGGUAACGGCUCACCAAGCCGACGAUGGAUAGGGAACUGAGAGGUUGGUCCCCCACACUGGUACUGAGACACGGACCAGACUCCUACGGGAGGCAGCAGUGAGGAAUAUUGGUCAAUGGGCGGGAGCCUGAACCAGCCAAGUCGCGUGAAGGAAGAAGGAUCUAUGGUUCGUAAACUUCUUUUGCAGGGGAAUAAAGUGCAGGACGUGUCCUGUUUUGUAUGUACCCUGAGAAUAAGGAUCGGCUAACUCCGUGCCAGCCGCCGC